CGCUGCUGUUGCCGUUGCCUUUUCUUGUGUUUUUUUCUUUCUUUCUUUGCGCCGCAGCGGCAGCGACGACGGUCAAUGCUGCCAACUUUGCCGUUGCCAGCCAUCAGACAACAUUUGUACUCGGUGGGUCUUGCUUCGAUCGGACACUCGGUCGCCGCCACGUUGCUGUAAUUAUCGCGUACUAUUUGCACCGUCCGCCGUUUGAUGUUUGUCGCUUGCCUUCAGCCGUCGUCGUCUGUUCGUCGCCGUCAUUUCCAAUUGGACGUACAUACAUUGCCAAUUGGACCGCUGCGUUUCAGCAACCCCAACCUACCUCCCCCUCAUUUCCCAUAUGUAGUCAGUCCCUUUAAUUAUCCGAAACGUAAAUUCUGCGAGUUCCGCUGCAAGCAAAUCAAAUUUAAACUGGCCGAAAAAAGUGCUUAAAAAUAAAACUCGGUCCCCAGUUCGUGUACCGUUAGUGUGUCGCUGCCAGCGCCUCAUGUGGCAGCCUCUUUUAGCUGCUUAUUUUUGCAUAAAUUCAAGUUCGCGCGCGUAUGCACAUAUAAAUAUUUACACACACAUACGCAAACACAAUAACACACACCUACACACAUUAGCAAGCACAAAAUCAGCGCAGACAGACCGCUGUCUGGCUUCCCCCAAUAAGAACAAACAAGCUUUAGUAGGAGCAGCAGCGGCAGCAGCAGUCCAAUAAGAACAAAACAGCAGGCGAAAAGAAAUACCGCGAAACGUAUAAGAAUUCAACUUGGGGCACAGCUUAAGCGACUUACGUUUCUUUUCGGCAUUACGUAGUAAACGUAAAGAGGCAUUCCCUCUGACACACACUGUGUGUAUGUGUGCGGCCUGGCUGGCUGCAUACAUCAAACACAUGUCGCUGCCGCAACAUUCCUUUUCGUAUGACGUUGACGUUGCGUCGCUGUCGCUGGUACUGCUGCUGCUGCUGCUGCUGCUUUAGCUGCGCCUUGCAAGUUUUUGACAUGUGCUGGUAUGUGUGUGUGUCUGUGUAUGAGUGUGACAAGUGCCGUCGCCGCCGCCGCCGCUGUCGCCUGCUGACUGCGCGCUUUACUUUUUAUGAUUAUUUUUCCUUAUUUUUUUAUAUACAUAUUUCGUAUUUAUUUUAUGUGCAUUUGCCUUUUGCCGCGUUAUUCGCGUGUGUUUUGACUUUGCGCGCCGCUCUCCAGCUCUCGCAUUACGGUUUAUUGAACUAGGCGCGCUCUAUUUAUGUUUUUGUUAUAUUUCUUUUUUUGAUUUGCCUGCCAGAUGGUGUCGCAGCUUUGUGCAGCAUCUCUGUCUCUCUUUCUCUCGUUUUAUACAGUUAAUAUUUUGCCUUUUCAGCAUUUCUCAUUAAUUCAAUUUUCAUUAUAGCAAGCAACAAAAUAACAUAAAGAAAUAUAAAAACCAAAUCUUGUGCAAAUUAAAGUCACGUGUUGACAAACAUUAAACUAAAACAAACCAAAAAAAAAAAAAAAUCCCCAAAAAAUACUUAACGCAUCCACUUCACUUACACUAAAGCUCUUACGUACACUCUUACACACAUACAGAUAGUCUUUUUACAACUAAUCGCAACAAUUGCGUCCAUUUUGCUCUCCAUAUCUCCGUUUUGUGCGCGCGUUCUUAUAAUUACAUACAUACAUAUAUUAUUGUUUAUUAUUUAAAAAUACAUGCAUAUAAUAUAUUUUUAAUAUAUAUCCAUAUAUAUCCAUAUACAUAUAUAUGUAAAGAAGCAGAAGUUUUUGGUGUGCAUAUCUAUAUAUUUUCUCUUUCGUUUGGGUCUUACACAAUAUAUAUCCUUACACAUACAACGAAAUCAGAAUUUAAUAUAUAAUUGUAUGCAAUUGAUUCCGUCACGUCGUCUACUACAAUUUGUCCAACCGACUCUACAACAAUAAAACUACGUUAUUUUAACUCACAAGAGAGAAACAAGCACAAGAAAAGCUGCGCACGAGGAUUAAAUGAUCUAAUUGCCUAAGGGUAUGUUGCGCAC